rnacentral:lncRNA from 11 species
AUGAAAGCACAUUGCCUUUGUGCUCAGUUGGACAUUGCAAAUGCAUGCGUGCAUGCCGCAUGGAGAUAUGUACACAAUAUUAGGAUACAUGUAUUCAGUUGCAUCGUGUGGUGGAAUUGUGGCAUGGUUCCACUCCAUUGUCUUCAGGUUGCUUUGGUGCGACAGGAGAUAUGCACACACAGAGGCGGUCCAACCAUAAGGCGAAAUAGGCAUUUGCCUGUGGCGCCAUCGUCCCGGGGGCACCAUCGUCCUGGGAGGAGGGCACCACUCUCCACCUCCUUCCUUCUCUUUCGGGCCUUCCAGCCACCGCGCAGACCCACCUUCGCACCACGCAAGCCCACCUUUGGGGCCUUCAGAGAUUGUGAGGUCUGUAGGAACUUGGAAGCUAGGGAUUAUUUCCCAUUGGCUUUCGUGAUUGGAUGGGAGUUUGAACCCAGGUUGCCGGAGUCCAAGACACUAUACUCCAUUGACUAUCUUAUUCAAUGCUGUAGGUUUGUCCUUGCCUUUCUCUCGGGCUGAGAGAGUGUGACUUGUCCAUGGUCUCCAUUGACUUUCAUGAUCAAGUGUGAUUUCGAACUCAGAUCUCCAGAGCUGUAGUCCAAAGUCUGAGCCAUUACGCUCCAUUGACUCUCUUAUUCAAUGCUAUAGGUUUGCCCUUGCCUUCACCUGAGGCUGAGAGAGUGACUUUCCCAAGGUCCCCCGAUCAAGUGGGAAUUCGAACCAAAGUCUGCAGAGUUGUCAUUCAACAUUCAAACCACAAUACUUUUUGGGGUCGAUAUUACUGUUUCUCAUUGCCUUCCUCUGAGGCUGAGACAGUGUGACUCACUCAAGGAUACGCAAUGGGUUUGAGCUGCCCCAAGUCCCUUUGGGGAGAUGGAGGCAGGAUACAAAAAUAAAGUCAUUAUUAUUAUUAUUAUUAUUAUUAUUAUUAUUAUUAUUGACACAAAGACAUAGUAUGACCCAGCAAACAAUAUAUUAUUAUGAGAUUAUUAUUAUUAUUAUUAUUAUUAUUAUUAUUAUUAACACAACAAGAUGAGUCCACAGCAGACACUCUACUGGUUGUUGUAUUGGAUCACACGUUGGACACUUCCCUAUUAUUAUUAUUAUUAUUAUUAUUAUUAUUAUUAUUAUUAACACAACAAGAUGAGUCCACAGCAGACACUCUACUGGUUGUUCUAUUGGAUCACACGUUGGACACUUUCCUAUUAUUAUUAUUAUUAUUAUUAUUAUUAUUAUUAUUAUUAUUAUUAUUCCAUGAAUGAACUUUGGUCUCUAAGCCCCCAAUUUCACUGUUAUAUAAUGCAGUAUGAACUGCAUUUUGUUUUUAGUGCACUCAUAUAAUGUAGAUUGUAUUGAACUGGAUUAUAUGAGUCUAUGCUGCCAUAUAAUCCAGUUCAAUCUGCAUUAUAAUGACAGUAUAGAUGUGGCCUAAAUAUGUUCAGAUAUUGCAUUGUUUUUUUACUAUUGUGUCUCAAAACCAGCUUAUAGAUCUUGUUUGCUAUGUC